UACGUACUGGGCGAACGUUAUUCGGAAUCACUGGGCUUAAAGGGUGCGUAGGCGGCUUCUCAGGUCCGGUGUGAAAUCUUACGGCUCAACCGUAAAAUGGCGCUGGAAACCGGGAGGCUUGAGUGUGCUAGGGGUGUGUGGAACUUCCAGUGGAGCGGUGAAAUGUGUUGAUAUUGGAAGGAACGCCGGUGGCGAAAGCGACACACUGGGGGCAUAACUGACGCUGAGGCACGAAAGCUAGGGUAGCGAACGGG
rnacentral:rRNA from 1 species